rnacentral:rRNA from 1 species
GACGAACGCUGGCGGCGUGCUUAACACAUGCAAGUCGAACGGACAGGCCCUGCUUUUGCGGGGUGCUCGAGUGGCGAACGGGUGAGUAACACGUGAUUAACCUGCCCUUGACUUUGGGAUAACUUCAGGAAACUGGGGCUAAUACCGGAUAGGAGCUCCUGAUGCAUGUUGUUGGUUGGAAAUUUUCGGCGGUUGGGGAUGGACUCGCGGCCUAUCAGCUUGUUGGUGUGGUAGUGGCUUACCAAGGUUUUGACGGGUAGCCGGCCUGAGAGGGUGACCGGCCACAUUGGGACUGAGGAACGGCCCAGACUGCUACGGGAGGCAGCGGUGGGAAAUAUUGCACAAUGGGCGGAAGCCUGAUGCAGCAACGCCGCGUGCGGGAUGACGGCCUUCGGGUUGUAAACCGCUUUCGCCUGUGACGAAGCGUGAGUGACGGUAAUGGGUAAAGAAGCACCGGCUAACUACGUG